rnacentral:rRNA from 1 species
UGGUGGGGUGACUUGUCUGCUUAAUUGCGAUAACGAACGAGACCUUAACCUGCUAAAUAGCCCGCAUGCUCCGGCAGUGCGCUGGCUUCUUAGAGGGACUUUCGGCUCAAGCCGAAGGAAGUUUGAGGCAAUAACA